rnacentral:rRNA from 1 species
ACGAACGCUGGCGGCGUGCUUAACACAUGCAAGUCGAACGGUGAAGCGCCUUCCUUUUUGGUGGGUGUGGAUGAGUGGCGAACGGGUGAGUAACACGUGAGUAACCUGCCCCCUUCUUCUGGAUAACCGCAUGAAAGUGUGGCUAAUACGGGAUAUUCUGGGUCUGUCGCAUGAUGGGUCUGGGAAAGAUAUUGUUUCGGUGGGGGAUGGGCUCGCGGCCUAUCAGCUUGUUGGUGGGGUGAUGGCCUACCAAGGCGGUGACGGGUAGCCGGCCUGAGAGGGUGGACGGUCACACUGGGACUGGGACACGGGCGAGACUCCUACGGGAGGCAGCAGGGGGGAAUAUUGCACAACGGGCGCAAGCCUGAUGCAGCGACGCCGCGUGAGGGAUGGAGGCCUUCGGGUUGUGAACCUCUUUCGCCAGUGAAGCAGGCCUGCCUCGUUUGUGGGUGGGUUGACGGUAGCUGGAUAAGAAGCGCCGGCUAACUACGUG